GACGAACGCUGGCGGCGUGCUUAACACAUGCAAGUCGAACGGAAAGGCCCUGCUUUUGUGGGGUGCUCGAGUGGCGAACGGGUGAGUAACACGUGAGUAACCUGCCCUUGACUUUGGGAUAACUUCAGGAAACUGGGGCUAAUACCGGAUAGGAGUUCCUGCUGCAUGGUGGGGGUUGGAAAGUUUCGGCGGUUGGGGAUGGACUCGCGGCUUAUCAGCUUGUUGGUGGGGUAGUGGCUUACCAAGGCUUUGACGGGUAGCCGGCCUGAGAGGGUGACCGGCCACAUUGGGACUGGGAUACGGCCCAGACUCCUACGGGAGGCAGCAGUGGGGAAUAUUGCACAAUGGGCGGAAGCCUGAUGCAGCAACGCCGCGUGCGGGAUGGCGGCCUUCGGGUUGUAAACCGCGUUCGCCUGUGACGAAGCGUGAGUGACGGUAAUGGGUAAAGAAGCACCGGCUAACUACGUG
rnacentral:rRNA from 1 species